rnacentral:rRNA from 1 species
UGGGGAAUAUUGCACAAUGGACGGAAGUUUGAUGCAGCGACGCCGCGUGGAGGGUGUAGGCCUUCGGGUUGUGAACUCCUUUUUCUCGCGAAAAAGGCACAGUUUUGGCUGUGUUGAUGGUAGUGGGGGAAGAAGCGCCGGCUAACUACGUGCCAGCAGCCGCGGUAAUACGUAGGGCGCGAGCGUUGUCCGGAUUUAUUGGGCGUAAAGAGCUCGUAGGUGGUUCGUCGCGUCUGUCGUGAAAGCCAGCAGCUUAACUGUUGGUCUGCGGGUGGUACGGGCGGGCUUGAGGGCGGUAGGGGUGACUGGAAUUCCUGGUGUAGCGGUGGAAUGCGCAGAUAUCAGGGGGAACACCGAUGGCGAAGGCAGGUCACUGGGCCGUUACUUACACUGGGGAGCGAAAGCGUGGGGAGCGAACAGG